GGAGAUUACUACUCAGGUACGGAAUAAGAAGCUGGAGUGGACAAACUCUGAAAGGAGCAGAGAAUCUGUUUUGAUCCCUGGAAUCCUAGAAACAGCCCCCUACUGCCUUCCCCUUUCCCUCUGGAUAAAACAUUGACACCCAGGCAGAAUUGCUGCCAAAGUGAAUGUGUUCCAAAGUUUUCCAUAGAGCAUCAGUGGCUCUUUAAGGAAUGGAAGGAAAAAUGCAUGUUGGCUUCCCAGACUGUGCACGAGCUGUGACCUCAUCAGGCUGGUGCACGUGAACCAGGAAGCAGAACACAACUGAAAUAAACAAGACAGGUUGAGAACUUGGGAGAAACUGAACAGCUGUAUGAGUAGAGAAGCGGGAACGUGGAUCCUUGGUCAGGAGUCUAGCAGAGACCAUGAGCUGUUGCUUGGCUCUAACCUUCUGACUUUCAGUUUGUGAGGGGAGUUUGCGGCACCAGGGGCCAUGGCGGACUGGGUUCUCCUUGGACUGAUUGGGGCAUUGCUUGUGCUCCUGCUGCUGACUCUCUUUGGCUUUGCCAU